rnacentral:rRNA from 1 species
UGGAAGUAAAAAAUCGUAACAAGGUCUCCGUUGGUGAACCAGCGGAGGGAUCAUUACUGAGUUUACGCUCUACAACCCUUUGUGAACAUACCUAUAACUGUUGCUUCGGCGGGUAGGGUCUCCGUGACCCUCCCGGCCCCCCGCCCCCGGGCGGGUCGGCGCCCGCCGGAGGAUAACCAAACUCUGAUUUAACGACGUUUCUUCUGAGUGGUACAAGCAAAUAAUCAAAACUUUUAACAACGGAUCUCUUGGUUCUGGCAUCGAUGAAGAACGCAGCGAAAUGCGAUAAGUAAUGUGAAUUGCAGAAUUCAGUGAAUCAUCGAAUCUUUGAACGCACAUUGCGCCCGCCAGCAUUCUGGCGGGCAUGCCUGUUCGAGCGUCAUUUCAACCCUCAAGCUCUGCUUGGUGUUGGGGCCCUACGGCUGACGUAGGCCCUCAAAGGUAGUGGCGGACCCUCCCGGAGCCUCCUUUGCGUAGUAACUUUACGUCUCGCACUGGGAUCCGGAGGGACUCUUGCCGUAAAACCCCCAAUUUCCAAAGGUGACCUCGGAUCAGUAG